UGGUUCCCCACAGGUGCUGGAUGUCCAGCUGAAUCUCCUCUUGAACAGCAGCCGGAAGAACCUUCUCGAUCUCUCUCCGCUCGAUGAGGAACUCGGCCUGGUACGGCAGGUGCUUCACUGGAGGAACACCAGAACAUCGAGUAACCAGAGGUGGGAGACUCGAGUCAUAUGAAAGACUAAGUCCAAGCCAAAUCAAUUUGGUGGUGGUGAUGGCGCAGUGGAUAAGACACAUGCCUUUAGUGUGAGAAUAAUAUCAACCAGCACUAAUGUCACUGUUAUAUGAGCGAUGGGUUCUUCACCUCGAUGAUGUUCCGGCCCUGGUCCUGUGGCAGUGGCGUCCCGUACAGGAAUCCGUUGUCGUAAGAAUCCCUCUGGGUAAAGCGGAGCCAGCGGGGCAGAUCGGGGAAUCUCUCCUUGUUGCAUUUAAACACCAUGGGAUCAUUAUAAAAUUGACC